rnacentral:rRNA from 1 species
UACGGGGGGGGCAAGCGUUGUUCGGAAUUACUGGGCGUAAAGGGCUCGUAGGUGGCCAACUAAGUCAGACGUGAAAUCCCUCAGCUUAACUGGGGAACUGCGUCUGAUACUGGAUGGCUUGAGUUUGGGAGAGGGAUGCGGAAUUCCUGGUGUAGCGGUGAAAUGCGCAGAUAUCGGGAGGAACACCGGUGGCGAAGGCGGUUCUCUGGGCCUUACCUGACGCUGAGGAGCGAAAGCGUGGGGAGCGAACAGG